ensembl:lncRNA novel transcript
AAAUUAUCACAGGAGCAUGAACCCUAUUGUGAAGUACGCAUGCAAGGGAUCUAGGUUGCAUUCUCCUUAUGAGAAUCUAAUGCCUGAUGACCUGGCAUUGUCUCCCAUCACCCUAGAUGGGACUGUCUAGUUGCAAGAAAACAAGCUCGGGGCUCCCCCUGAUUCUACAUUAUGUUACAGCAAUAGGUAACUGGAAUUCAACUGCUGGACUAUACCAAAGACUGCCAGGCCAGCCUACCUUUCUCACAGCCUUCUUGACUACCUGUCUUGGAUGAGCUCACUGAAAGCCCACAUACCUUCAUUCUAGCAUUUCCUCAGUCUGGUUGAGCUGCUUUGGAGGUAAUACAGGUUGUAGGACUUCCCUCCACUCCUGCUCAGGACCGUUUUCAGCAGGCUAAUCAGACAGCAGUUGGCACUGAGUACAACUGGAGAAAUGUUAUCAGCACUGAAGACUGCUCCAGC